rnacentral:rRNA from 1 species
UACGUAGGGUGCGAGCGUUGUCCGGAAUUAUUGGGCGUAAAGAGCUCGUAGGCGGUGUGUCGCGUCGGCCGUGAAAACCUGGGGCUCAACUCUGGGCGUGCGGUCGAUACGGGCAUCACUUGAGUUCGGCAGGGGAGACUGGAAUUCCUGGUGUAGCGGUGAAAUGCGCAGAUAUCAGGAGGAACACCGGUGGCGAAGGCGGGUCUCUGGACAGUUCCUGACGCUGAGGCACGAAGGCCAGGGGAGCAAACGGG